CGUUCCCCGGACCUUGUACACACCGCCCGUCAAGCCAUGGGAGUCGGGAGGACCUGAAAGGCAGUUUGCUGUGAGGGCGCUGUUUUAGGGGUAAAAACCCGAUGACUAGGGCU
rnacentral:rRNA from 1 species